rnacentral:rRNA from 1 species
UACAGAGGGGGCAAGCGUUGUCCGGAAUUACUGGGCGUACAGCGCGCGCAGGCGGUCGUGGACGUGCCGUGUGACAUCCGUCGGCUCAACCGACGGAGGCCAGGGUACACGACACGACUGGAAGCAGAGAGAGGGAUGUGGAAUACCCGGUGGAGCGGUGAAAUGCGUAGAGAUCGGGUGGAACACCAGGGGCGAAGGCGGCAUCCUGGCUCUGACUUGACGCUGAGGCGCGAGAGCGUGGGGAGCAAACCGG